rnacentral:rRNA from 1 species
UACGAAGGGGGCUAGCGUUGUUCGGAAUUACUGGGCGUAAAGCGUGCGCAGGCGGCUUCUCAAGUCAGGGGUGAAAGCCCAGAGCUCAACUCUGGAAUUGCCUUUGAGACUGAGUGGCUUGAGUACGAGAGAGGUGAGUGGAAUUCCCAGUGUAGAGGUGAAAUUCGUAGAUAUUGGGAAGAACACCGGUGGCGAAGGCGGCACACUGGCUCGUAACUGACGCUGAGGAGCGAAAGCGUGGGGAGCGAACGAGGA